AGAGUUUGAUCCUGGCUCAGGAUGAACGCUAGCGGCAGGCCUAAUACAUGCAAGUCGGACGGUAAGCGCCCCUUCGGGGGUGCGAGAGUGGCGCACGGGUGCGUAACGCGUAUGCAACCAGCCCCGUCCAGGCGGAUAGCCGGUGGAAACGCCGGAUAAUACGCCACGGUCCCGGAGGGGGGCAUCCCUUUCCGGGUGAAGCGGAGACGCGGGACGGGACGGGCAUGCGUGCCAUUAGCUGGUUGGCGGGGCGACGGCCCACCAAGGCGACGAUGGCUAGGGGAUCUGAGAGGACGGUCCCCCACACUGGAACUGAGACACGGUCCAAACUCCUACGGGAGGCAGCAGUGAGGAAUAUUGGUCAAUGGCCGCGAGGCUGAACCAGCCAAGUAGCGUGCAGGAUGACGGCCCUAUGGGUUGUAAACUGCUUUUAUGCGGGGAUAAAGUGCGGCACGUGUGCCGUUUUGCAGGUACCGCAUGAAUAAGGACCGGCUAAUUCCGUGCCAGCAGCCGCGGUAAUACGGAAGGUCCGGGCGUUAUCCGGAUUUAUUGGGUUUAAAGGGAGCGCAGGCGGAGAGCUAAGCGUGACGUGAAAUGUAGCCGCCCAACGGCUGACGUGCGUCGCGAACUGGUUUUCUUGAGUGGGUACGACGUCGGCGGAACUCGUGGUGUAGCGGUGAAAUGCUUAGAUAUCACGAGGAACCCCGAUUGCGAAGGCAGCCGACGAGUCCCUUACUGACGCUAAAGCUCGAAGGCGCGGGUAUCGAACAGGAUUAGAUACCCUGGUAGUCCGCACGGUAAACGAUGGAUGCCCGCUGUUGGCGACACACUGUCAGCGGCCAAGCGAAAGCGUUAAGCAUCCCACCUGGGGAGUACGCCGGCAACGGUGAAACUCAAAGGAAUUGACGGGGGCCCGCACAAGCGGAGGAACAUGUGGUUUAAUUCGAUGAUACGCGAGGAACCUUACCCGGGCUUGAACUGCCGGCGAACGAUUCAGAGAUGAUGAGGCCCUUCGGGGCGCCGGUGGAGGUGCUGCAUGGUUGUCGUCAGCUCGUGCCGUGAGGUGUCGGCUUAAGUGCCAUAACGAGCGCAACCCCUCUCCGUAGUUGCCAUCGGGUUAAGCCGGGCACUCUGCGGACACUGCCACCGCAAGGUGUGAGGAAGGUGGGGAUGACGUCAAAUCAGCACGGCCCUUACGUCCGGGGCUACACACGUGUUACAAUGGGGAGUACAGAGAGCCGGUCUGCGGCAACGCCGAUCCAAUCCUUAAAGCUCUCCUCAGUUCGGAUUGGGGUCUGCAACCCGACCCCAUGAAGCUGGAUUCGCUAGUAAUCGCGCAUCAGCCAUGGCGCGGUGAAUACGUUCCCGGGCCUUGCACACACCGCCCGUCA
rnacentral:rRNA from 1 species